UACGGGGGGGCAAGCGUUGUUCGGAAUUACUGGGCGUAAAGGGCUCGUAGGCGGCCAACUAAGUCAGACGUGAAAUCCCUCGGCUUAACCGGGGAACUGCGUCUGAUACUGGAUGGCUUGAGUUCGGGAGAGGGAUGCGGAAUUCCAGGUGGUAGCGGUGAAAUGCGUAGAUAAUCUGGAGGAACACCGGUGGCGAAGGCGGCAUCCUGGACCGACACUGACGCUGAGGAGCGAAAGCCAGGGGAGCAAACGGG
rnacentral:rRNA from 1 species